rnacentral:rRNA from 1 species
GGGCGUUAAGUUGCAGGGUAUAGACCCGAAACCCGGUGAUCUAGCCAUGGGCAGGUUGAAGGUUGGGUAACACUAACUGGAGGACCGAACCGACUAAUGUUGAAAAAUUAGCGGAUGACCUGUGGCUGGGGGUGAAAGGCCAAUCAAACCGGGAGAUAGCUGGUUCUCCCCGAAAGCUAUUUAGGUAGCGCCUCGUGAAUUCAUCUCCGGGGGUAGAGCACUGUUUCGGCUAGGGGGCCAUCCCGGCUUACCAACCCGAUGCAAACUGCGAAUACCGGAGAAUGUUAUCACGGGAGACACACGGCGGGUGCUAACGUCCGUCGUGAAGAGGGAAACAACCCAGACCGCCAGCUAAGGUCCCAAAGUCAUGGUUAAGUGGGAAACGAUGUGGGAAGGCCCAGACAGCCAGGAUGUUGGCUUAGAAGCAGCCAUCAUUUAAAGAAAGCGUAAUAGCUCACUGGUCGAGUCGGCCUGCGCGGAAGAUGUAACGGGGCUAAACCAUGCACCGAAGCUGCGGCAGCGACACUGUGUGUUGUUGGGUAGGGGAGCGUUCUGUAAGCCUGUGAAGGUGUGUCGUGAGGCAUGCUGGAGGUAUCAGAAGUGCGAAUGCUGACAUAAGUAACGAUAAAGCGGGUGAAAAGCCCGCUCGCCGGAAGACCAAGGGUUCCUGUCCAACGUUAAUCGGGGCAGGGUGAGUCGACCCCUAAGGCGAGGCCGAAAGGCGUAGUCGAUGGGAAACGGGUUAAUAUUCCCGUACUUGGUGUUACUGCGAAGGGGGGACGGAGAAGGCUAUGUUGGCCGGGCGACGGUUGUCCCGGUUUAAGCGUGUAGGUGUGUGUUCCAGGUAAAUCCGGUUCACUUUAACACUGAGGCGUGACGACGAGGCACUACGGUGCUGAAGCAACAAAUGCCCUGCUUCCAGGAAAAGCCUCUAAGCAUCAGGUAACAUCAAAUCGUACCCCAAACCGACACAGGUGGUCAGGUAGAGAAUACCAAGGCGCUUGAGAGAACUCGGGUGAAGGAACUAGGCAAAAUGGUGCCGUAACUUCGGGAGAAGGCACGCUGACACGUAGGUGAAGUGAUUUACUCAUGGAGCUGAAGUCAGUCGAAGAUACCAGCUGGCUGCAACUGUUUAUUAAAAACACAGCACUGUGCAAACACGAAAGUGGACGUAUACGGUGUGACGCCUGCCCGGUGCCGGAAGGUUAAUUGAUGGGGUCAGCGCAAGCGAAGCUCCUGAUCGAAGCCCCGGUAAACGGCGGCCGUAACUAUAACGGUCCUAAGGUAGCGAAAUUCCUUGUCGGGUAAGUUCCGACCUGCACGAAUGGCGUAAUGAUGGCCAGGCUGUCUCCACCCGAGACUCAGUGAAAUUGAACUCGCUGUGAAGAUGCAGUGUACCCGCGGCAAGACGGAAAGACCCCGUGAACCUUUACUAUAGCUUGACACUGAACAUUGAGCCUUGAUGUGUAGGAUAGGUGGGAGGCUUUGAAGUGUGGACGCCAGUCUGCAUGGAGCCGACCUUGAAAUACCACCCUUUAAUGUUUGAUGUUCUAACGUGGACCCGUUACCCGGGUUGCGGACAGUGUCUGGUGGGUAGUUUGACUGGGGCGGUCUCCUCCUAAAGAGUAACGGAGGAGCACGAAGG